rnacentral:lncRNA from 1 species
GCCUGUGCUGAAGACCUGUUUCCCAGGCUAUGCACAAAGAAAUUGUUCCUACCCUUCUGCCUGGGGAAAAGUCCCUGGACCUUGGGCAGAGAGGGCUGCAUGCAUGCACACACAGACAUCCCCCACUUUCUACUCUAAGACAUGUUUGGUGUGGGUGAGGGGUGUCACCUGCCAGCUUUGCUAGUUACACUGGCAGCGCAUUUCUGCGCACCAACCAAAAUGUCCACCACAUC